UACAGAGGUCCCAAGCGUUGUUCGGAUUCACUGGGCGUAAAGGGUGCGUAGGUGGCGGGGAAAGUCUGAUGUGAAAUCUCCAAGCUCAACUUGGAAACUGCAUUGGAAACUACUUCGCUAGAGGAUUGGAGGGGGGACUGGAAUGCUUGGUGUAGCAGUGAAAUGCGUAGAUAUCAAGCGGAACACCAGUGGCGAAGGCGAGUCCCUGGACAACUCCUGACACUGAGGCACGAAAGCUAGGGGAGCAAACAGG
rnacentral:rRNA from 1 species